GAACAUCUUACGGAUGGCCCAGGGCUCCAAAGGCUCGUUUCCUAAGUGAGAGAGAGCCUGGCUGAAGCUGUAUUACCAUUCAUUCUCCAGCCUCCGAAGUCUCAAAGCAUCACUUCCACCAUACUCUAACUGUCAAGACAAACACAAAGGCCCAGAAACUGCCAGACUGUCUUCUGAAGUGGCUAUAAUAUUUACACUCCCAUCAGCAGUGUAGAAGGGGUCUCACUAUGUUGUCUGGAGUGCUGUGGUGGAGUGGAGUGGCUAUUCACAGCUGAGUUUGCAGAGUAAACCACUACCCUGAAAUCUGGAAAGGCAGGUGCACCCACAGAUCCUCAGCUGAGAUCCAAUUACCUGAAAUAGAAGCUGCCAUUAGGAACACUUAAAAGAGCCUGUUCUGCUGGGACACAGAAUCACUUGCUCCAUCUCAUACAUUGAUGAUGAUUAAUUUGUAUGUGUACCUUCCAAAAAAGAUGGUUGUGUUUGAAUGGAGGCCUUCUGGACAGGAAAAUAAUCACAUCCUUCCUGAGAUAAUGAGCACACAAUUGCCUGGAUACCUGAAGGAAUGGAGACAGCGGCAGAAAACACUGCAGAGAGGUGGAAACAUCCGUUAAUAUUUUAAAAUCCCAUUACUGCUACCAACAAUAAUAAUGGAUGCAUAGAAAUAGAUCUGGAUUAGCUGAGCUUGAAACAGUCCAUCUCACACACACACAAAAGAAUUUCAGAUACAGUGAACCCACAUGUUGAAGCUUUCUAGUAUAAUAAAAAUUUCAACUGUUCUGUUGAAUCAUCUGCCUGAUUGGAGGCUACAGAAAAGAUGUCAUCUUAGGAGUGCUUGCUCUGAGUGAGGCUCAUCUUCAAAUCUGAAUGACCACAAGGAGAUUUGAUUAUACAUGUGAACACCUCAGAAGGCACAGCCCACCCAGAAGGCAGACAGGAGGAGACAGACACUAGAGCUCACCGGCUCGCCCUCUCACUCCUACUCAUCUGAGAAGGCAGCCAGCUAACCCUUCAGCCAGGAAGAGGGUCCUCAUCAGAACCUGGCCGUGGUGGCAUCCAGAUCUUGAACCUCCGGACUCCAGACUGUGAGAAAAUAAGUGUGUUGUUUAAACUA
rnacentral:lncRNA from 1 species